AGUAAAUAUUAAAACCUUGUCUUCCUUGGAAAUUUGUGUAUAUAGCACUGUGUUGGAAAAUACUUCUCAAGUGCCAGUGUAUAUAUAUUCCAGGAAUAUACAUCUCUGGAGAAAUCUAAGGGCAGCUUAGAUAAGACCCCAAACCCCUUUGUAGUAGAAGAUUUAAAAGAGAGCAAAGACCUGUUGUUAGAGAGGAGUAGAGGUGGGAAAAGCAUGGCUUGGAGGCAAACCUUGGGAUUGAGUUCCUUUAAUAUGCAGUGUGGCCUUCAACAAAUUACGAUAUUCCAUUUGCUUUUGUUCCCUCUUACUUAAAACAAGACAGUCUACUUAAAGAUCUCAGAGGCUGAAUAAUAUAUGAAAGACUUACUGACGAUACUCUGAAUAGUAGCUAUUAUUACAUGGGUAGAGAAUGGAUUUUUCAUUUUAUUCUGUUCAUUCUUAAUAUGGAAGUGAUGAGCUAUUGUGAUGAAAGGGAAGUGAUGGGGAGGGGGGACUCCCUUUGAUAUAGAUUGUAGUGAAUAGAGCAUGACAUACUGGUCAGAAAUCACCUCUGUUAAUAACCUCUGCCAGUCCUCUUGCCUUUCCCUUUCCUGUGCAGAUAUAAUCAGUAACAAACUGCUCCCUCUUGUGGCAUCCUUCUAACUUCUGU
rnacentral:lncRNA from 1 species